ensembl:Mt_rRNA
CAAAGGUUUGGUCCUAGCCUUACUGUUAAUUUUAAUUAAGCCUACACAUGCAAGUUUCCGCUGCCCAGUGAGAAUGCCCUCAAAAUUCUACAAUCGAAUCAACAGGAGCAGGUAUCAGGCACACCCGUCCCGGUAGCCCAUAACACCUUGCUUAGCCACACCCCCACGGGAUACAGCAGUGACUAACUUUAAGAUAUGAACGAAAGUUUGACUAAAUUAUAAUUAUACAGGGUUGGUAAAUUUCGUGCCAGCCGCCGCGGUCAUACGAUUAACCCAAAUUAACAGAACACCGGCGUAAAGCGUGUUUAAGCGCAAAUCUCAAAAUAAAGUUAAUACUUAACUAAACUGUAAUACGCCCUAGUUAACAUUAAAAUAAACAACUAAAGUGACUUUAAUUUCGCUGAAUACACGACAACUAAGACUCAAACUGGGAUUAGAUACCCCACUAUGCUUAGUCAUAAACCUAGGUAAUCCGAUAACAAAAUUAUUCGCCAGAGAACUACUAGCCACCGCUUAAAACUCAAAGGACUUGGCGGUGCUCUAAACCCACCUAGAGGAGCCUGUUCUAUAAUCGAUAAACCCCGAUACACCUCACCCCUUCUUGCCAAUACAGCCUAUAUACCGCCAUCGUCAGCUCACCCCAAUAGGGGACAAAAGUGGGCAAAAAUCAUUCACCAUAAAAACGUUAGGUCAAGGUGUAGCAUAUGAAGGGGGAAGUAAUGGGCUACAUUUUCUAAAUUAGAAAACCAACGAACUAUCUCAUGAAACCCUGAGUCAUACGAAGGAGGAUUUAGUAGUAAAUUAAGAAUAGAGAGCUUAAUUGAAAUAGGCAAUAGAGCGCGCACACACCGCCCGUCACCCUCCUCAACACAAACCGUCACAUUAACUAAUAAGUUAUCCAAAAAAAGAGGAGAAAAGUCGUAACAUGGUAAGUGUACUGGAAGGUGCACUUGGAGUAU